AUGGCGGCCGCCACCAACACCAAGCCGAAGAGGCAGCAGCCGGCACCGGUCCUGGACCCCAAGUUCGAAUGGGCGGACAAGGCCAGCACCUACGUGCUCCGCCUCAGCCUCGAGGGGUUCAAGAAGGGCGACUUCAGGGUGCAGGUGGACGGCGCCGGCAGGCUCACCGUGAGCGGGGCGAGGCCGGGUGCCACCCCGGGCUCCUUGCACAAGGUCUUCCAGCUCCCGUCUACAGCCAGCCUCGAUGACAUCGCCGGCCGCUUCGAGUCCGGCGUGCUCACGCUCACCGUGCCCAAGCGCGCGUACUCUGGUGUCCCCGCGCCGACGAGCAUCGAGGAGAUUAAGAGGGAUAAACCUGGUGUGGCCAAGGAAGACGUCAGGCCGCCGCCAACCAAAGACGUCGACGGCAACGAUAAGAAGGCGGCCAGCGGCGACGACAGCACCACCAAGCCUAAGGAAGAGAUCGCCAAGGAGGAGGAUGUGUCCAACAAGCCCAUGGACGAGGCCACGAAGAAUGCUCAACAGCAGAAGCAACCGGAGGAGGCAAGCAACCACAAACAAGAGCAGCAAAAGCUAGCACCAGAACCAGAGGUGAAGAAGGAGCAAGAAGUGAAGCCGGCGCCGGAGCCGGAGGUUGCCAUCGACGAGAAGGACAAAGCGGUGGUUGACCAGGAGAGCCUGGCGGCGGGCGUGAGACGGCGCAUCGAGGAAGAGAAAGCCAAGGCUGCGGCCGCUGCCAUGGAAGCCAAAGCGGUGUUGGAGAAGAAGGCCACCGCGUGCAGCGGCUGGAAGCAGCGCGUGGCAGGGGGGCUGGAGCAGCUGACAGACAUGAAGUGGGCGGACAGCGUGGUGGAGAAGGCAAGGAACAACAAGGAGGUGGUCGCCAUCGCCAUCGCUGCUUUCUCGCUCGGCUUCUUCGUCUCUCACAAGUUAUUCAGGAAGUGA
rnacentral:rRNA from 1 species